UUACAACAUAUUAUUUUUCGCAGCCAAAAAAGCCAUUUUGAAGAAAAGUAUGCCUAGAAUUAAAGAAGUCAUCGUCGAUCAUCCUUUUUACAUUUGUCUUUCAUUGAAAGAACAAGCUGAAAAUGGAGACACUUCGCUACAAUUAUUAUUCAACGGAAGAAUCGGCCAGCCUGUUUAGAACUUUAGUAGACCGUGUUACUUACGUGUAUGUGUAUAUUGUGAUAAACUAAAACCAUUAUGAAGAGAUGCAAGCCUAGAAUUAAAGAAGUCAUUGCCGAUCAUCCUUUUUAUAUGUGUCUUGCAUUGAAAGAACAUGCCGAAAAUGGAGACACUUCGUUACAUUUAUUAUUUAACGGAAGAAUCGGGCGACCUGUUUCGAAAGUUUAGAACUUAGAUCGUCUUAGUGUUGUGUACUUGAUAAAUUAUGUAUAGUUUGUUGUGGUACUAGUUUGUAUAUCUUCUGUGUUAUGGACUGCUUGUACGACAAACGUUUGUAUUUGAUAAACUUGUUUCCAGUGCCGCGCCAGCACGUGUUAGCGCCUGUGUGCAAAACAUUUAAUGGCGCCCAAAAAUAUGCAUUUUUGUUAAAAUCUUCUCGUUAAAUUAAACAAUGUGACUACAAAUGAACAAUUAUUUAUUGUAACCAAACAAAAAUAACUAAAAAUUCUCCUGUAUGCAACAGGAAAAUAAACUAAUUAAAAAUUAACUAAAGAUUCUAUCUUAUAAAUAUUCUAAAAUAAAUAUCUAUUUCAGAAAAAAUUUACUUUUCGCGCCUUUUGUUAGGAAAAUCUUUUUAUAACAUGGUGAAUAUCAUCUAAUAUUGACGACUCUAUUCUAUAAUAGAGAUCUUCUUCUUUUGGUGCCUAUUCGUUUCGAAUAUUGGCGAUCAUUCUGGCUAUAAUUAUUUUAUUAAUUGAUGCUUUAAAUAGAUUAGUUGCUGUUGUGGAGAACCAUUUCCUCAGGUUCUUUAACCAUGAUAUUCUUCUUCUCCCAAUUCCUCGCUUUCCGAAUACUUUUCCUUGAAGGAUUACCUUCAGUAAUCUGUAUUUAGUGCCCUUCAUGUCAAUUGCGACAUAUACGCAUGUCGGUUGAUUACGAGAUAGCAUUUGAUCGGGUACAGCAUGCCAAAA
rnacentral:misc_RNA from 1 species